GUCCCUGUUAUGUAAUGGAUAGCGCGUUGGACUUCUAAUCCAAAGGUUGUGGAUUCCAAUCCCACCUGGGAUA